rnacentral:lncRNA from 1 species
UUGGUAGGCGCCCUUCCCCCACCCUGGUUCAUUUCAGACUGCAAAUUCUUUACCCGUUUAAAUGGAUUUCACUAGCUUCAGAUGAUACUUGUCGACCACUUUAGCUUUGGUUUGGGAUGUUAAUAACUGUGGUGUGCUAUUAGGUGUAUGCUUUUAUGUUAUUACGAAUUCCAUGACAUGCAAAAAGGACCAUUCAGAUUUCAAGACCACAUUAUUCCUGUCUUUGUUGUUGCUGUUAUAUUAUCAUGAGUAAAUUUCACAAAACUACAUGUUUUGUGGUCCAAGUUACAGAAAACCACACACACUUUGACACUUGGCACUUGAGUAUAUAUAUUUUGGUUGUGUAGUUUCACAAAACUACACUAUCGAUGUAUAGAUUCACCCGCGAGAUGAUGUGGCUGUUUCACCUAGGACGAGGAUAUGGCAUCCUAUUACCAGCCAUCGCACGAAAUUAAUAUGAUGCCACGUCCUCAUCCUAGAUGAAACAACCACGUCAUCUCACGGGUGAAUCCAUCCAUCGAUAGUGUGGUUUUGUGAAACUAAACUACCAAAAUAUAUGUACUUAAGUGACAAGUGUCAGAAUGUGUGUGGUUUUCUGCAACUUGAACCAUGAAACAUGUAGUUUUGUGAAAUUUACUCUAUUAUCAUUAUUAUUUAUCCGUAAUAACACUUUUCUCUUUUCAUCACAAAUUAUUUAUCCAUACUCAUCCUUUUCUCUUUUCAUCUUUUUUAUGUAUGUGGUAUGUACUGCUGAU